GACGAACGCUGGCGGCGUGCUUAACACAUGCAAGUCGAACGGAAAGGCCCUGCUUUUGUGGGGUGCUCGAGUGGCGAACGGGUGAGUAACACGUGAGUAACCUGCCCUUGACUUUGGGAUAACUUCAGGAAACUGGGGCUAAUACCGGAUAGGAGCUCCUGCUGCAUGGUGGGGGUUGGAAAGUUUCGGCGGUUGGGGAUGGACUCGCGGCUUAUCAGCUUGUUGGUGGGGUAGUGGCUUACCAAGGCUUUGACGGGUAGCCGGCCUGAGAGGGUGACCGGCCACAUUGGGACUGAGAUACGGCACAGACUCAUAAGGGAGGCAGCAGUGGGGAAUAUUGCACAAUGGGCGGCAGCCUGCUGCAGCAACGCCGCGUGCGGGAUGACGGCCUUCGGGUUGUAAACCGCUUUCGCCUGUGACGAAGCGUGAGUGACGGUAAUGGGUAAAGAAGCACCGGCUAACUACGUG
rnacentral:rRNA from 1 species